CAUAAAAAACAGUUAGUUCAUAAAAGGGAUCCUUGUUUGAGCAGGUGUUUGAAUCUAGAUGGUGAAGGAUUAAAAUAAAAUCAUGGAUUAAAGUAACUUACAAGAGAUUAAAGAGAAUCAGAUAAUCUUCCCGUCAAUCAGAACCAUGUCAACACCCAUGAACUUACCCCUUUUCUCUGCAAUGACCUUCCUUCAAUUCUGAAAAUAGAAUCUGGAAAUUAACCAUUCAUUUUUGGAUCUUUCUGGAGAACUCUUGAAAAAACGUUAGCAGACAGACGAACUAUGAAACUCACUUGUGAAAUUUAUCGGAGGAAAGAGUCAUUUAAGAAGAGGUAAUGGGUUUCAUUGAUUCAACUCGACGUUACCUCGUAGAACCGAGGCUAAGAGGAAAAGGUGCGGCUGAAGUUCGAGGAAGCUGAAGUGAUUGAGUUGCCACGUGGCAUAAAACCCUCGUAUGUGAAUGAUGACGUG
rnacentral:lncRNA from 1 species